GACGAACGCUGGCGGCGUGCUUAACACAUGCAAGUCGAACGAAGAGCGAUGGAAGCUUGCUUCUAUCAAUCUUAGUGGCGAACGGGUGAGUAACGCGUAAUCAACCUGCCCUUCAGAGGGGGACAACAGUUGGAAACGACUGCUAAUACCGCAUACGAUCUAAUCUCGGCAUCGAGGAUAGAUGAAAGGUGGCCUCUACAUGUAAGCUAUCACUGAAGGAGGGGAUUGCGUCUGAUUAGCUAGUUGGAGGGGUAACGGCCCACCAAGGCGAUGAUCAGUAGCCGGUCUGAGAGGAUGAACGGCCACAUUGGGACUGAGACACGGCCCAGACUCCUACGGGAGGCAGCAGUGGGGAAUCUUCCGCAAUGGACGAAAGUCUGACGGAGCAACGCCGCGUGAGUGAUGACGGCCUUCGGGUUGUAAAGCUCUGUUAAUCGGGACGAAAGGCCUUCUUGCGGAUAGUGAGAAGGAUUGACGGUACCGGAAUAGAAAGCCACGGCUAACUACGUG
rnacentral:rRNA from 1 species